UACGUAGGCAGCGAGCGUUGUUCGGAGUUACUGGGCGUAAAGCGUGCGUAGGCGGUGUCUUAAGUUUGUUGUGAAAUCUCCCGGCUUAACCGGGAGGGUGCGGCGAAUACUGAGAUGCUGGAGUGCCGGAGAGGUAAGCGGAAUUCCUGGUGUAGCGGUGAAAUUCGUAGAUAUCAGGAGGAACACCGGUGGCGAAAGCGGCUUCCUGGCCCGACCACUGACGGCUCAUGUACGAAAGCGUGGGGAGCAAACAGG
rnacentral:rRNA from 1 species